AUACGGAGGGUGCGAGCGUUAAUCGGAAUUACUGGGCGUAAAGGGCGCGUAGGCGGCGUGAUCAGUCAGAUGUGAAAGCCCCGGGCUUAACCUGGGAAUUGCAUUUGAUACUGUCAUGCUCGAGUUUGGUAGAGGGGAGUGGAAUUUCCGGUGUAGCGGUGAAAUGCGUAGAGAUCGGAAGGAACACCAGUGGCGAAGGCGACUCCCUGGACCAAAACUGACGCUGAGGUGCGAAAGCGUGGGUAGCAAACAGGAUUAGAAACCCCGGUAGUCC
rnacentral:rRNA from 1 species